rnacentral:rRNA from 1 species
CCUACGGGUGGCAGCAGUGGGGAAUAUUGGACAAUGGGCGAAAGCCUGAUCCAGCCAUGCCGCGUGUGUGAAGAAGGCCUUCGGGUCGUAAAGCACUUUCAGUGGGGAAGAAAGCCUUGGGGCUAAUACCCUCGAGGAAGGACAUCACCCACAGAAGAAGCACCGGCUAACUCCGUGCCAGCAGCCGCGGUAAUACGGAGGGUGCGAGCGUUAAUCGGAAUUACUGGGCGUAAAGCGCGCGUAGGCGGUCUGAUAAGCCGGUUGUGAAAGCCCCGGGCUCAACCUGGGAACGGCAUCCGGAACUGUCAGGCUAGAGUGCAGGAGAGGAAGGUAGAAUUCCCGGUGUAGCGGUGAAAUGCGUAGAGAUCGGGAGGAAUACCAGUGGCGAAGGCGGCCUUCUGGACUGACACUGACGCUGAGGUGCGAAAGCGUGGGUAGCAAACAGGAUUAGAUACCCGAGUAGUC